UGGGGAAUAUUGGACAAUGGGCGAAAGCCUGAUCCAGCAAUGCCGCGUGAGUGAUGAAGGCCCUAGGGUUGUAAAGCUCUUUUACCCGGGAUGAUAAUGACAGUACCGGGAGAAUAAGCUCCGGCUAACUCCGUGCCAGCAGCCGCGGUAAUACGGAGGGAGCUAGCGUUGUUCGGAAUUACUGGGCGUAAAGCGCGCGUAGGCGGUCCAUCAAGUCAGAGGUGAAAGCCCGGGGCUCAACCCCGGAACUGCCUUUGAAACUGGCGGACUAGAAUCUUGGAGAGGUCAGUGGAAUUCCGAGUGUAGAGGUGAAAUUCGUAGAUAUUCGGAAGAACACCAGUGGCGAAGGCGACUGACUGGACAAGUAUUGACGCUGAGGUGCGAAAGCGUGGGGAGCAAACAGG
rnacentral:rRNA from 2 species